rnacentral:misc_RNA from 1 species
UCACACUAUCAAGCUUGGCUUGUUGUUGGGCCCUCUGUCACCGGGUGACAGGUCCAAAAGACAAUAACCGGUGUCAUACAGACUCUAUAUGCAACGAGCUUAUCACAGCACGCAUCUGGCAGUCGUGUGGCCUGGUUUUUUGAUAAAUAUAUUUCUCAA